rnacentral:rRNA from 1 species
GACGAACGCUGGCGGCGUGCUUAACACAUGCAAGUCGAACGGAAAGGCCCUGCUUGCAGGGUACUCGAUUGGUGAACGGGUGAGUAACACGUGUGUGAUCUGCCCUGCACUUCGGGAUAAGCCUUGGUAACUGGGUCUAAUACCGGAUAGGAGCCAUUUUUAGUGUGAUGGUUGGAAAGUUUUUUCGGUGUAGGAUGAGCUCGCGGCCUAUCAGCUUGUUGGUGGGGUAAUGGCCUACCAAGGCGGCGGCGAGUAGCCGGCCUGAGAGGGUGGACGGCAACAGUGGGACUGAGAUACGGACAAGACUCCGACGGGAGGGAGAAGUGGGGAAGAUUGAACAAUGAGCGCAGGCCAGAUGCAGAGACGCCGCGUGGGGGAUGACGGUGUUGGGGUUGUAGACUUCUAGCGCUAGGGACGAAACUUUUAGUGACGGUACCUAGAGAAGAAGCACCGGCUAACUACGUG